UAGCUCAGUGGUAGAGUGCUUGCCUCCCAUGCAUGAGGCCUUGGGUUCGAUUCCUUA
rnacentral:tRNA from 1 species